CUUGGGGAGGCCUCCAGUGGAGGCUGUCCCUGAAGGGGCCCUUCCUGGGACUCAGGCUGGCACUGAGCCGCUCACAGUCACAUCCCCACGCGUGUGCCGGCGCUGGCACCCACUCCACGUGGGGGCUGCCACGUGGCUCCACCAGAGCCAGGAAGGAGACGGCGGCCAUCCAACAGUGAGGACAGGCAGAUGGAGCGAGUGACUCAGCACGGGGGCAGAUGUGGUCAGAUGAGAAGAGUAAACACGAAGGCUGCAGGCCACACCUGCCACGGCCCCCUCAGAGCUGGGCAGGAAUGGUGGGGCCCGGUGGUGACAGAGCUGGGAGGCAGGGAUGGGGGAGAUGGAUGGCCCCACCAGGCUCGGCGGAGUGAGGACAGCCAGGCAGAUGGCCUCGUUAAAGAAACCAGGCGCGUGUGGGAGCCGGGCUCCAUGUGGGAGUAGGGGCCCUAGGGGGGCUCCUUCCUGGCUGGGGCUCCUCCCUGCCGGGCCGUUCCACCCAGGGCUGGGCUUGCCCUCGUUCUGCUCAAGUGGCCUUUCCCCUGGGUCUGUCCCAGGUGUAUUCAUUGCUGGGACCAGUGGCUCAGAAGCACGGGCCACAGCACGCGGCGUGGGAAGCCCCUGGCCCAGGACAGCCUCCCGUCCUCAUUGCCGACAGGACUAUCUUUUGAGCGCUUGCCACCCAGACAUGGUGCUGGGCCUGGGGGGGCAUCCCCCCACGUUGCAUGUGCUCUCCCUUCAACCUGGAGCCCCCCCCGUCCCCCCAUGCAGACUCUUCCUCAGCUAUCACCUCCUCCAAGAGGCCCUCCCUGACUACCACAUCUGAAGUGGCCCCAUCACUUCUCAGCCCAGGACUCUGUUUGGUUCGUCAAAUUCGUCCCAUCUGUCUCCUCACUGGCUUUGCUCCCUGCGGCAAUAGGACAGACAUCCUCCCGGACAGGCUGGGUCUGUCUUGUUCUUGGCUGCGUCCCAGGUCCUGGAACAAUGCCUGGCACAUAAUAGGCACUUCAUAAAUGCGUGUGGGCUCAACCUUCACAGCCUGGCGAGUGGGGGCUGGGGUCCUGGCCCUUCCGCCUCCCCCGCCCAGCUUGUUCUUCCUUCUGGAAAGUGGCGGGAAGAAGGCGACUUCGCUCUGCCUCACGUGCCACAACCCAUGAUGUCCCAGGAAGAGGACUGUCCAUCCACCCAGCACCUGCUGCCUGUGUUUGUGUCUACACCACUCUCCUUCCCUUGCUCUUCCUUCCUCAUAUGAGCAUGACAGCUCCUACAUAUUCUGCAAAUGCCCUUGCUGAAGAUCCUCCUCACGGCCUGGGUCACACUGAAUAGUUAGCUUUGUUUUGGCCUCUGCAGCACCAGGACUUCUGUGGACAGAGCUCCGACCCCUGGGGCCACAGACCAUACUGCCGCCUCCUGUCUGUGGCUCACAGCAGCCUGCAAGCUCCAUCCCUGAAAGGGGGACAUUCUUGGCCCCUGGCACUGAUCAAAACUGUGCUCUUUCUCCUUCCCUGAGGUGGGCAGGACCUCUGGUCUCAGCCACCCCCAGUCAUGCUCAUCCUGGGAGCCUCUCACAAGACAGGAGACUCUCGACUGAACACCAUGUUCUGAGUCCUCAUGUGUUAAAAAUGCAAGAAAUUCCCUCAAAGCUUUACAAAAACUGUGGUAAUUUAAAUGCUUACAUUUAACAAUUCA